UAGCUAGUUGGUGGGGUAAGGGCCUACCAAGGCGACGAUCGGUAGCUGGUCUGAGAGGAUGACCAGCCACACUGGAACUGAGACACGGUCCAGACUCCUACGGGAGGCAGCAGUGGGGAAUAUUGGACAAUGGGGGCAACCCUGAUCCAGCAAUGCCGCGUGUGUGAAGAAGGCCUGAGGGNUGUAAAGCACUUUCAGUGGGGAGGAGGGUUGAUAGGUUAAGAGCUAAUUAACUGGACGUUACCCACAGAAGAAGCACCGGCUAACUCCGUGCCAGCAGCCGCGGUAAUACGGAGGGUGCGAGCGUUAAUCGGAAUUACUGGGCGUAAAGGGUGCGUAGGUGGUUGAUUAAGUUAUCUGUGAAAUUCCUGGGCUUAACCUGGGACGGUCAGAUAAUACUGGUUGACUCGAGUAUGGGAGAGGGUAGUGGAAUUUCCGGUGUAGCGGUGAAAUGCGUAGAGAUCGGAAGGAACACCAGUGGCGAAGGCGGCUACCUGGCCNAAUACUGACACUGAGGCACGAAAGCGUGGGGAGCAAACAGGAUUAGAUACCCUGGUAGUCCACGCUGUAAACGAUGUCAACUAGCUGUUGGUUAUAUGAAAAUAAUUAGUGGCGC
rnacentral:rRNA from 1 species